GUCGAGCGUCACUAGCCAGAUAAAGCUAGCUGGCUGCUUAUAACCUUAGCUUUGGUCAACAGGGUUAAGUAGCUGGCUAGCUAUUUAUUUUCAUGAACUGAAGUUCAAUUUCAAUUGGCAAACAACAAGUGGCUACCUAGCUAAAACGUACUCACAAGGAUUCCUUGUUAAGGAUAAUGAAAAUGACUGCAGUUUCUACUGGUCGUUGUUUUCAGGCUGGUUGUAUUGGUGCUAGCUAGGUACCACGCUAAAGCUAGCUAGCUACCCCAGAAGAUGCAGUCAAACAAAUAAUGUCUUAUUACCAUCGUGGUAUUGUAAACAUAUCGUUUGUGGCCAUUGUGUGCUUGUUUGCAGACUUUUUUGUACAGCUUUGACAGUGCUACUGAUAGUGGUGGCGCUUGGCUUACACGUGCAAAUUCAUCACACACAACAUUCUAAUAGAAUUAUUCUAUAUGUGUAGGGAAGUAUUUAAACACUUGCUUAGGUCCAACCUCUGAUCUUUCCAAGGAUUUUUUAUAUGCCAAACUGGAACCCAAACAAUGCAAAAACUGGGCAUCGACGCGUCGCAACUCCAAUAACCCUUCCUUGAGCCUAUGCCUCUGACAGCACAAUGACUGAUGACUCCCCUUCAGGCUACAGGAAUGGAACCAGGGAACAGUGAGGGAAGGGUUGAGGUUCUGGGAUAAAUUUAUUGGACGGACAGGAAGGGUGCCCACGAUGUCCCGGAGCAGAUGGCGACCCUCUCCUUUGCUGACGUCCGUAGGGAAUUCAAGACCCUUCUUAGCAUUCCUUUAGAGUGCUCCGACAGAUAUGUAGCCUAUGGAACUCUUGAGUGUCACUGUGCAACAUUAACCACACACGUGAGUAAUUUAGGAUAUUUUAUUGAACUCCCAAGAUAUACCAGGGCAUUACAAUAUCAUCCUUAAAAUAAAGCAAAUGAUCUUGAAAAGAACAUAGCAAAAGAAAGUAAAUCAGCAUUGGUUUGACUAGUGCCGUGUACUUACAAAAUAGAGCUGUCUGUAACAACAUAGAAAAAGCCAUAUGAAACCAAUGAAAACAUUCUUCAACGAGUUUAUGCAUUCAAUUAUGGCUAUAUGGACAAAAAGAACCGCCCGACAAGAUAAACCUACGACACUACGAUAAUAGCAUCGGGCUCAAUGCCAGUCAAACAAUGUGCCUUAUUAGGAACAUUCCUCUUAUAUUUGGUGAUGUUGUCCCAGAAGGAGACAAACACUGGCAUUUGAUGUUGCUGCUGUUGGACAUUGUCAGCAUUGUAUUUUCUCCCAGCAUCACUGAGGGGAUGACUCUAUUUUUUAAGGAUCUUAUCGCAGAGCAACAUAGAUUGUUUUCAGAGUUGUAUUCUCUGAAUAAUCUGAUUCCGAAGGAUCACUUCCACUAUUCAGAAUCUAUAUGCAAAAUUGGUCCUUUGAUACAUGUUUGGGCAAUGAGGCCGUUUUUCAAGUCGAGCAUAAAACAUUUCAAGAAUGUAACCAAAUCCCUCUCUAAGAAACACCAAAUGGCUAUUGCAUAUCAUUGGGAAUUCCUCGGCAUCAAAAGCAUUGAGACUGAGCCUGAGAAAACUCAAAUGCUGAAUGACAUUGAAAAUUGUGAAUUGAUCUCACAGCAUUUUCAGCUUGAUAUGUCCGGUGAAAUACGUGUCACACCCUGGGUUAUGUGUGAUGGCAUUGAGUAUCACACUGGCAUUGUUGUCUGUUCAGAUGUAGUGGAUGAGAUGCCAGUGUUCAGUAAGAUUGUUGGCAUAUAUCUGAGAGAUUAGAUUUAUUUGUGGGGUCAGUCAUGGAGACUACAUUUGUUGAGCACUUUCAUGCAUUUCAUAUUACUGAACAAGACCGUCUUUCAAUAAUCAAACCAGUUGAGAUGUUUUAAACCUUUUGAUCUCCAUCUUUUUUUAAAUGUUGUUACAGACAGCUGAGUGACUCAUCAUAGCUUACACUGAAAACAAAAGUAACAUUGAAAAGUCUGUUGAAUGCUGCCAAUGAGGUGCUCCCCUGGCAUGGAAUGAGCUUCUUUGUCCAUGAUUACAUUUACAUUACAUUUAAGUCAUUUAGCAGACGCUCUUAUCCAGAGCGACUUACAAAAUGGUGCAUUCACCUUAUGAUAUCCAG
rnacentral:lncRNA from 1 species